rnacentral:lncRNA from 1 species
ACUCCUAGAAGGCCUUAAUGAAACUCUAAGGUUUUCCAUCUUUUUUUCAUCGUUUCUUCUUUCUCUCUAUUUCUUUUGUUAUCUUAUUUUUCUCUACCAUAAACUUUAUUCUUUAUUCCUCUCCUUACACCCUAAAACAAAACCCUAGCCCACCUACCCUUGAGUGUAGGCAACCAUCUAGGGUUGUCCUACAUCAAUCUUGGUAUCGAAGCGAAAGUUCUUAGCUUGAAGGCAUAUGCAAUUGAGCAGAGCAACUUAUGGAAUUAUAAGUUCCAAAAAAACUUCUAACAAUCAAGAUGUCGCUACAAUACGCUUGGAGGAAAUUUCAGCCACACAACAAUUCUAUCAAGAUGCUCUAAUACAACUAAAUAGGAAACUUGAUGAGAUCAUGAAUUUAUUAGAAAAGAGUCAAGAAAAACGACCAAUUGAAGAUGAGAUUGCAAGUCAUCAAUUUAGACAAUCGCCAAGUCAAUCACGCAAAGAACAAGACAAUUUUAUGAUGGGGAAUCAAAGAAGGGGCAAACUCUUUGAGCAAGAUGAUGAUGUGACAAAAAGGGUACGCCUUGAAGUCGCUGAAUUUUAUGGAAAACUAAAUCCAACAGCUUUUCUUGAUUGGAUUAUGUCAAUGGAAGAUUACUUUGAUUGGUAUGCAAUGUUCGAAAAUAGAAAGUUCGUUUUGUGAAGGCAAAGUUGAAAGGAGCAGCAUAUCUAUGGUGACAUAAUAUUGAGAAUGAACUUCAUAGAACUGGCCAACCACCUAUAGACACAUGGGACGAGAUGAAGUUGAAGAUGAAGGAGCACUUUCUCCCAACUGAUUAUGAACAACUUAUGUAUACAAAAUUGUUUUCCCUUAAACAAGGUAACAAUUUUGUAUUAAGCAAGGUAACAAGUGUGGGAAAGUGUGGGAAAGUGAUGCUUAGCUUGCAGCCCAUUAUAAAGUUGGACUUCAAAUGGAGAUUCAACUUGAGAUGAUAGUUGCACACACUUAUACCGUAGACGAUGUUUAUCAACUAGCCCUCAAAAUAGAAGAAGGCCUUAAAUUUCGGGUUUCCAAAACAUCCAAGUUCACAAAUAGGGAGCACUUUCUCCAACCGAACAGCAAACAAACCUUUAAGCACAUCAAGCUUCAAAACUUCUAAUCAUGCGAAUGGUGCAGGCAACACUCAACAGACUUCGAAUAUGGCUCAUAAAGAUGGGUAAUAAGGGUAAAACUUUAAUGAGUAUUGAAGAUAGAAAAGUAGACAUAACUCCUUUAUGCUUUAAGUAUGGUGGGCAUGAUCAUUAUGUUGUUGUGUGCCCAACCAAAGGUUUACACUUUUGUGUUGAAGAACCAGAAUUUGAAUUGGAGAGUUACCCAAAGGAAGGAGAGACCCACAAUGAAGAUGAAAUUAAUGAAGAAUGUGACUACUAUGAUGGUAUGACGAAAGUGUCAAAAUAUUGUGUGAAUGGCCGAAUACCUUGGCCUUGAGUUUUGUAUAUUAUAUAUAGACUUUACAAGGAUGCUAUACAUGGAAAGCAAAUAAAAGCAAAUAAUUUCCCUCAUGAUUCUAGUCCUAUACAUGUAAACUAUAAUCUAUUAAAUAAUAUAUGCUAACUGUACAGAAUAAUAAAUGGAGAAAUAAGGAAACAAUUGUAGGCUAAAAUAAGGAAAGAAGUGUGGGUUAAAAUAAGGAAAGAAGUGUGGACAGCAAAGCUGUCCUUUGACAGCCCCCCUCAAAUUGAUGCAGGUUGAUCAACAAGCAUCAAUUUGCCACUUAGCAAGCAAUGUCGAUGACGAGGGAGAGCUUUGGUGAAGAUAUCAGCAAUUUGUAAGUCAGUAGAAAUAUGUGGAAGAGUGAUAACACGAGCUUCAAAGGCUUCACAGAUAGAGUGACAAUCCACUUCAAUAUGCUUUGUGCGCUCAUGAUAGACAGGAUUGGUCGUGAUCUGAAUAGCACUUGUAUUAUCGGCAUGUAGAGGUGUAGGAUCGGUCUCAAAAAAAUCUAACUCCGCAAGCAAACCUCGAAGCCAAAUGAUUUCAGAACAAGCAAGAGACAUCGCCCAGUACUCAGAUUCCGUAGAUGACUUAGAGACUCUGUCUUGCUUCUUACUUUUCACAAACAUCUUAAACUAAAGCUGGGCUAGAGUCCGAGAGCCCCUAGGGCUAAAUCCGAGAGCCCCUAGGGCUAAAUCAGAGAGCCCCUAGGGCUAAAUCAGAGAGCCCCUAGGGCUAAAUCAGAGAGCCCCUAGGGCUAAAUCCGAGAGCCCUUAGGGCUAAAUCAGAGAGCCCCUAGGGCUAAAUCAAAGAGCCCCUAGGGCUAAAUCCGAGAGCCCUUAGGGCUAAACCCGAGAGCCCCUAGGGCUAAAUCAAAGAGCCCCUAGGGCUAAAUCCGAGAGCCCCUAGGGCUAAAUCCGAGAGCCCCUAGGGCUAAAUCCGAGAGCCCUUAGGGCUAAAUCCGAGAAAACCCAAAGAAAAACCUAGAAAGCGUGUAAACUCUAGGUUCAAAAUACAAGCUCUGAUACCAUGUCAAAAUAUUGUGUGAAUGGCCGAAUACCUUGGCCUUGAGUUUUGUAUAUUAUAUAUAGACUUUACAAGGAUGCUAUACAUGGAAAGCAAAUAAAAGCAAAUAAAUUCCCUCAUGAUUCUAGUCCUAUACAUGUAAACUAUAAUCUGUCAAAUAAUAUAUGCUAACUAUAUAGAAUAAUAAAUGGAGAAAUAAGGAAACAAUUGUAGGCUAAAAUAAGGAAAGAAGUGUGGGUUAAAAUAAGGAAAGAAGUGUGGACAGCAAAGCUGUCCUUUGACAGGAAGGACAUAGUCUUGUAGUGCAACCUUUAUUAGUUGUCCCAAAGGUAAAAGGAGAAGAAGAUUGACGACGUACUAGCAUUUUCCAAACACGUAUUUCUUGCCAAGGGAGAUUAUGCACCAUGAUCAUUGAUGGAGGUAGCAGUUUGAACAUAGCUUCGUAAGAACUUGUUGAGAAGUUAAACCUUAAAACAGAAAGACAUCCCCUAAUCCAUUCCGAGUAGCAUGGGUUAAUGACACCUCUAUCCCAGUAAGUUUUCACUACUUUGUAACAUUCCCUUUUAGUAAGGACUUUGAAGAGUUUGUAUGGUGUGAGGUUUUACCCAUAAAAGCAAGUCCUAUUUUGCUUGGAAGACCAUGGCUUGUUUUAUGAAAAGGUCCAACAUGAUGGAUAUGAAAACACUUAAGACACUUGUGUGCAACGGGAGUAAGAAGAUCCUCCAUCCAAUGAAGGAAAUUCCACCACUUAGGCAGCCAAAGGAAAAAUUAGCAUCCUUGAAACUAGAAGAGCCAUCAUACUCUUAUUAAGAAGCAAGUCGAAGUUACUAGUAAGGAGGAAGAAAUCAUCAAUGAUGAAUCUAGAAUGCAAGAGGUGAUGGAACUAAUCCUAGGUCAACCAAUAAAAAAGCUCAAAGAAGUUGUAGAAGCUUCAGAAGUACCAAUGUUUGACUUCACAAGGCAAGACAUUAUCAUGGUUGAGCAAACAUGAUGAAUUUGCUGAAAUUUAUUUUGAAUAUAGGGAAUUCAAAACUCUUAUUCCUCUACAAGACAAUUUACAAAAAGAGUAUGGGAAGCAACUCUCCACAAGCUUGUUGAAGACACAUAAUUAUUUCGAGAAUUAUCAACUUGUUUUACAACAUCAAAAAGUUUUUCGAAGUCUAGUAUGUCUUGCAUGAAAUUGAACAAGUUCAAGAGAUAUUGAGAUCCUGUCUUAGCACGAUAAAGAGACGACAAAGAAAGAAAUGGUGGAAGGCAUUGCUUGGAAUUUCAAUUGACCGUGGAAAAUCAUCUAAAACUCGAGGUCAAGUUUUUUUCAAGUUGGGGGGAAUUGAUGAGGAUGAAUCCCUAAGAUAUAUAUCAAGAGAGGGAAUUAGAGUCAAAUUAGUAUUAGUUGGAAUUAAAUUAGGAUUAGCUAAUUAAGUUAUAAUAUAAUUAGAAUUUGAGUCAUGAUAGGUUAUUAGAGUCUUAGUAGACUUUGGAUUUCUUAGAGAAACCUAUAAAUAAGUUAAUCACUGUAAAUCAAAUAGAUGAAUUGAUUAAUAUUAAAAAUAUUAUUUUUUUCAUUGCAACUGUUGCAAUCCUCAAUGGUGAGACUCUAUUGAUUUUCUUCUAGGUGAGACUCCUAGAAGGCCUUAGUGAGACUCUAAGAUCUUCCAUCUUUUCUUCAUCGUUUCUUCUUUCUCUCUAUUUCUUUUUUAUCUUAUUUUUCUCUACCAUAAACUUUAUUCUUUAUUCCUCUCCUUACAACCUAAAACAAAACCCUAACCCACCUACUUUUGAGUGUAGGCAACCAUCCUAGGGUUGUCCUACAUCAUGCGGACUUCUAACUGUUGACAAAACAACCAAUCACCACAUUCCAAGACGCAACAUGUAUCUAGACAUCUCCUCAAACAAUCUCCACAUGGUUCUACAAUUUCCAAUCAUAGGACAACUCCAAAUCAUUAGUUCCAAGAAACAACUUUUCUACUCAACAUUUCAUCAUAGAUAUGUCCCACAUUCCCUCAUUCACAACACACGCCAAGUUGAUUUAACAUUAUCAUGAUCCUAUCACAUGCAAUUCAAGCAUCCACAUUUGAACAGGCUCUGUAAUUGCUUCCAAAUGAUGUUUUAAGCUUUGAAAAUUAAUUUCCAGCAAAAUAAAUUAAUGGCUAAUAUAAAUAACACAUGCUUUGAAACUGAAGAAAGAGUACAGAAAAUGGUGUCUGAAGCCAAAAC